rnacentral:rRNA from 1 species
GUGCCAGCAGCCGCGGUAAUACAGAGACUGCAAGCGUUAUUCGGAUUCACUGGGCGUAAAGGGUGCGCAGGCGGCCGUGUGUGUGAGGCGUGAAAGCCCGGGGCUUAACCCCGGAAUUGCACCUCAAACUACAUGGCUAGAGCAUUGGAGAGGGUAGCGGAAUUCACGGUGUAGCAGUGAAAUGCGUAGAUAUCGUGAGGAACACCAGAGGCGAAGGCGGCUACCUGGACAAUUGCUGACGCUCAGGCACGAAAGCGUGGGGAGCAAAAGGGAUUAGAAACCCGCGUAGUCC